AUUGAACGCUGGCGGCAGGCUUAACACAUGCAAGUCGAGCGGGGUGAUGGUGCUUGCACUAUCACUUAGCGGCGGACGGGUGAGUAAUGCUUAGGAAUCUGCCUAUUAGUGGGGGACAACAUCUCGAAAGGGAUGCUAAUACCGCAUACGUCCUACGGGAGAAAGCAGGGGAUCACUUGUGACCUUGCGCUAAUAGAUGAGCCUAAGUCGGAUUAGCUAGUUGGUGGGGUAAAGGCCUACCAAGGCGACGAUCUGUAGCGGGUCUGAGAGGAUGAUCCGCCACACUGGGACUGAGACACGGCCCAGACUCCUACGGGAGGCAGCAGUGGGGAAUAUUGGACAAUGGGGGGAACCCUGAUCCAGCCAUGCCGCGUGUGUGAAGAAGGCCUUAUGGUUGUAAAGCACUUUAAGCGAGGAGGAGGCUCUUUUGGUUAAUACCCAAGAUGAGUGGACGUUACUCGCAGAAUAAGCACCGGCUAACUCUGUGCCAGCCGCCGGCAGUAAAAC
rnacentral:rRNA from 1 species